GACGAACGCUGGCGGCGUGCUUAACACAUGCAAGUCGAACGGAAAGGCCCUGCUUUUGUGGGGUGCUCGAGUGGCGAACGGGUGAGUAACACGUGAGUAACCUGCCCUUGACUUUGGGAUAACUUCAGGAAACUGGGGCUAAUACCGGAUAGGAGCUCCUGCUGCAUGGUGGGGGUUGGAAAGUUUCGGCGGUUGGGGAUGGACUCGCGGCUUAUCAGCUUGUUGGUUGGGUAGUGGCUUACCAAGGCUUUGACGGGUAGCCGGCCUGAGAGGGUGACCGGCCACAUUGGGACUGAGAUACGGCCCAGACUCCUACGGGAGGCAGCAGUGGGGAAUAUUGCACAAUGGGCGGAAGCCUGAUGCAGCAACGCCGCGUGCGGGAUGACGGCCUUCGGGUUGUAAGCCGCUUUCGCCUGUGACGAAGCGUGAGUGACGGUAAUGGGUAAAGAAGCACCGGCUAACUACGUG
rnacentral:rRNA from 1 species